CAAUGAAGAAAGUAUAGUAAUAUGCACAAAAAUUUAAUUGGGUCUCUAGACUUGCCUUUUUUGAUGCUAUUUGGUUUUGAUUUGGAAGUAUGGUUCUGCAGCAAAAUA